AGAAACUUAGGAUAAUUCACCCAAACCGAAGGCCUUCAAAGCCUUAAAUAAGAGUUAAACCCUCUUAGUUUCUG
rnacentral:tRNA from 1 species